rfam:Corynebacterium casei LMG S-19264, complete genome.
CGUUAAGACACGGGGUGCCGUAAAGACCGGCUGAGAUAACACCCGUCGAACCUGAUCUAGUUAGUACUGGCGAAGGGAUUGUCCGGAUGAAACUGG